UGAACGCUGGCGGUAGGCCUAACACAUGCAAGUCGAACGGCAGCACAGUAAGAGCUUGCUCUUACGGGUGGCGAGUGGCGGACGGGUGAGGAAUACAUCGGAAUCUACUUUUUCGUGGGGGAUAACGUAGGGAAACUUACGCUAAUACCGCAUACGACCUACGGGUGAAAGCAGGGGAUCUUCGGACCUUGCGCGAUUGAAUGAGCCGAUGUCGGAUUAGCUAGUUGGCGGGGUAAAGGCCCACCAAGGCGACGAUCCGUAGCUGGUCUGAGAGGAUGAUCAGCCACACUGGAACUGAGACACGGUCCAGACUCCUACGGGAGGCAGCAGUGGGGAAUUUUGGACAAUGGGCGCAAGCCUGAUCCAGCCAUACCGCGUGGGUGAAGAAGGCCUUCGGGUUGUAAAGCCCUUUUGUUGGGAAAGAAAAGCAGCAGGUUAAUACCCCGCUGUUCUGACGGUACCCAAAGAAUAAGCACCGGCUAACUUCGUG
rnacentral:rRNA from 1 species